rnacentral:rRNA from 1 species
CUACGGGAGGCAGCAGGCACGCAAAUUACCCACUGGCCGAAGGCCGAGGUAGUGACGAAAAAUAACGAUACCGGACUCAUCCGAGGCCCGGUAAUCGGAAUGAGUACACUUUAAAUCCUUUAACGAGGAACAAUUGGAGGGCAAGUCUGGUGCCAGCAGCCGCGGUAAUAUGGUCAUAGCUGUUUCCU